UUAACUCAAAUUUUUGAAAUUGGUGGUGGUGCGGUCCUUUUGCUUUGGGCUAAUACUUUCUCCCCCUUUGGCAUGAAUCGCCAAAAACGGAUACUUUGAGUGAAAUAUAAGCCCUUUGAACUAAUUUCUCCCCCUUUGGCGAACAAAAUAUGAGUGAAGAUUAUACCAAAGACGGAGAGUGACGCGGAGCGACGGCGAAGGAUGAGUGAUUCAAUGGAGUGGAGUGGAAGCCUUUGUCUUCGUCGAAGACUCCAAUUCCCUUUCAAUCUAUGACUUGGUUUGAAAUACACUUGAAAACAUAUUAGUCAUAGCAUAUAAAAGAGAUAUGAUCAAAGAUAUAUUAAUGAGCUAUGUGUGCAAGACAUCAAAAGAAAUUCCGAGAAUCAAGAAUAUGUAGCUCAUGCCUAAGUUUGUUGAAGUUUGUUCAUCUAGUGGCUUGGUAAAGAUAUCGGGUAAUUGUUCUUUGGUGUUAAUAUAUGCAAUCUCGAUAUCCCCCUUUUGUUGGUGAUCCCUCAGAAAAUGAUAUCGAAUGGCUAUGUGUUUAGUGCGGCUAUGUUCAAUGGGAUUAUCCACCAUGCGGAUUGCACUCUCAUUAUCACAUAGAAGAGGAACUUUGGUUAAUUUGUAACCAUAGUCCCUAAGGGUUUGCCUCAUCCAAAGCAAUUGCGCGCAACAAUGGCCUGCGGCAAUGUACUCGGCUUCGGCGGUAGAAAGAGCCACUGAAUUUUGUUUCUUUGAAGCCCAAGACACCAGAGACCUUCCCAAGAACUAGCAAGUCCCCGAUGUGCUCUUUCUAUUAAUUUUACACCCCGCCCAAUCGGCAUCCGAAUAACCAAUGAAGUCAAAUGUGGAUCCCCUAGGAUACCAAAGCCCAAACUUAGGAGUAUAAACUAAAUAUCUCAAGAUUCGUUUUACGACCGUAAGGUGAGCUUCCUUAGGGUCGGCUUGGAAUCUUGCACACAUGCAUACGGAAAGCUUUAUAUCCGGUCGUGAAGCACAUAAAUAGAGUAAAGAACCUAUCAUCGACCGGUAUACCUUUUGAUCUACGGAUUUACCUCCUGUGUCGAGGUCGAGAUGCCCAUUGGUUCCCAUGGGUGUCUUGAUGGGCUUGGCAUCCUUCAUCCCAAACUUGUUUAGAAUGUCUUGAAUAUACUUCGUUUAGCUAAUGAAGGUGCCCUCUUUGAGUUGCUUUACUUGAAAUCCCAAGAAGUACUUCAACUCCCCCAUCAUAGACAUCUCGAAUUUUUGUGUCAUGAUCCUACUAAAUUCCUCACAUGUAGAUUCGUUAGUAGACCCAAAUAUUAUAUCAUCAACAUAAAUUUGGCAUACAAACAAAUCAUUUGCAAGUGUUUUAGUAAAUAGAGUAGGAUCGGCCUUUCCGACUUUGAAGCCAUUAGUGAUAAGAAAAUCUCUAAGGCAUCCAUACCAUGCUCUUGGGGCUUGCUUGAGCCCAUAAAGCGCCUUAGAGAGUUUAUAUACAUAGUUAGGGUACUCACUAUCUUCAAAGCCGGGAGGUUGCUCAACAUAGACCUCUUCCUUGAUUGGUCCAUUGAGGAAGACACUUUUCACGUCCAUUUGAUAAAGCUUAAAGCCACGGUAAGUAGCAUAGGCAAGUAAAAUGCGAAUUGAUUCUAGCCUAGCUACGGGUGCAUAGGUUUCACCGAAAUCCAAACCUUCGACUUGUGAAUACCCCUUGGCCACAAGUCGGGCUUUGUUCCUUGUCACCACACCAUGCUCAUCUUGUUUGUUGCGGAAAACCCACUUGGUUCCUACAACAUUUUGGUUAGGACAUGGAACUAAAUGUCAUACCUCAUUCCUAGUGAAGUUGUUGAGCUCCUCUUGCAUUGCCACCACCCAAUCCGAAUCUUGAAGUGCUUCCUCUAUUCUGUGUGGCUCAAUAGAGGAAACAAAGGAGUAAUGUUCACAAAAAUGAGCAACACGAGAUCGAGUAGUUACCCCCUUUUGAAUAUCGCCGAGAAUGGUGUUCAUGGGGUGAUCUCGUUGGAUGCUUGGUGGACUCUUGGAUGCGGCGGUCUUGGUGCUUGUUCAUCUUCCUUAUCUUGAUCAUGGGCAUCUCCUCCUUGAUCAUUGCUCUCCACUUGAGGCAGCUCAUUAUCUUGAUCUUUUCCUUCAUCAUCUUGAGCCUCAUCCUCAUCUUGAGUUGGUGGAGAUGCUUGCAUGGAGGAAGAUGGUUGAUCUUGUGCAUUUGGAGGCUCUUCGGAUUCCUUAGGACACACAUCCCCAAUGGACAUGUUCCUUAAUGCGACGCAUGGAGCUUCUUCAUCAUCUAGCUCAUCAAGAUCAACUUGCUCUACUUGAGAGCCGUUAGUCUCAUCAAACACAAUGUCACAAGAAACUUCAACUAGUCCAGAGGACUUGUUAAAGACUCUAUAUGCCCUUGUGUUUGAAUCAUAUCGUAGUAAAAAGCCUUCUACAGCCUUAGGAGCAAAUUUAAAUUUUCUACCUCUUUUAACAAGAAUAAAGCAUUUGCUACCAAAGACUCUAAAAUAAGAAACAUUGGGCUUUUUACCGGUGAGGAGUUCAUAAGAUGUUUUCUUGAGGAUUCGGUGUAGAUACAACCAGUUGAUGGCGUAGCAAGCGGUGUUGACCGCCUCGGCCCAAAACCGAUCCGAAGUCUUGUACUCAUCAAGCAUGGUCCUUGCCAUGUCUAAUAGAGUUCGAUUCUUCCUCUCCACUACACCAUUUUGUUGUGGCGUGUAGGGAGAAGAGAACUCAUGCUUGAUGCCCUCCUCCUCAAGAAAGCCUUCGAUUUGUGAGUUCUUGAACUCCGUCCCAUUAUCGCUUCUUAUCUUUUUGAUCCUUAAACCGAACUCAUUUUGAGCCCGUCUCAAGAAUCCCUUUAAGGUCUCCUGGGUAUGAGAUUUUUCUUGCAAAAAGAACACCCAAGUGAAGCGAGAAUAGUCAUCCACAAUAACUAGACAGUACUUACUCCCGCUGAUGCUUAUGUAAGCUAUUGGGCCAAAUAGGUCCAUGUGUAGGAGCUCGAGUGGCCUGUCAGUCGUCAUGAUGUUCUUGUGUGGAUGAUGAACACCAACUUGCUUUCCUGCUUGACAUGCGCUACAAACCCUGUCUUUCUCAAAAUGAACAUUUGUUAGUCCCAAAAUGUGUUCUCCCUUUAGAAGCUUGUGAAGAUUCUUCAUUCCAACAUGUGCUAGUCGGCGAUGCCAGAGCCAGCCCAUGUUAGUCUUAGCAAUUAAGCAAGUGUCGAGUUCAGCUCUAUCAAAAUCUACUAAGUAUAGCUGACCCUCUAACACUCCCUUAAAUGCUACUGAAUCAUCACUUCUUCUAAAGACAGAAACACCUAUAUCUGUAAAAAGACACUUGUAACCCAUUUUACAUAAUUGUGAAACUAAAAGCAAGUUAUAAUCUAAAGAGUCUACAAGAAAAACAUUGGAUAUGGAAUGGUCAGGUGAUAUAGCAAUUUUACCCAAUCCUUUGACCAGACCAUGAUUCUCAUCCCCGAAUGUGAUAGCUCGUUGGGGAUCUUGGUUUUUCUCAUAGGAGGAGAACAUCUUUUUCUCCCCUGUCAUAUGGUUUGUGCACCCGCUGUCGAUGAUCCAACUUGAGCCCCCGGAUGCAUAAACCUACAAAACAAAUUUAGUUCUUGAUUUUAGGUACCCAAACGGUUUUGGGUCCUUUGACAUUAGAUACAAGAACUUUGGGUACCCAAACACAAGUCUUUGACCCCUUGUGCUUGCCCCCAACAUACUUGGCAACUAUCUUGCCGGAUUUGUUAGUUAAAACAUAAGAUGCAUCAAAAGUCUUAAAUGAAAUGUUAGAAUCAUUUGAUGCAAUAGGAGUUUUCUUCUUAGGCAAUUUUGCACGGGUUGAUUGCCUAGAGCUAGAUGUCUCACCCUUAUACAUAAAAGCAUGAUUAGGGCCAGAGUGAGACUUCCUAGAGUGAAUUCUCCUAAUUUUAUGCUCGGGAUAACCGGCAGGGUACAAAAUGUAACCCUCGUUAUCCUGAGGCAUGGGAGCCUUGCCCUUAACAAAGUUAGACAAUCUCUUAGGAGGGGCAUUAAGUUUGACAUUGUCUCCCUUUUGGAACCCAAUGCCAUCCUUGAUGCCAGGGCGUCUCCCACUAUAGAGCAUGCUUUUAGCAAAUUUAAAUUUUUCAUUUUCUAAGUCAUGCUCAUUAAUUUUGGCAUUAAGUUAAGCUAUGUGAUCAUUUUGUUUCUUAAUUAAAGCUAGGUGAUCAUGAAUAGCAUCAACAUUAAUGUCUCUACAUCUAGUACAAAUGGAAACAUCCUCAACGGUAGAUGUAGAGGGUUUGCAAGAUUUUAGUUCAACAAUCUUAGCAUGUAAAAUGUCAUUUUCAUUUCUAAGAUUGGAAAUGGUAACAUUGCAAACAUCUAAGUCUUUAGCCUUAUCAAUUAAUUUUUCAUUCUCAUUUCUAAGGCUAGCAAGAGAGAUAUUUAAUUCUUCAAUCUUAGCAAGUAAACUAACAUUAUCAUCUCUAAGAUUUGGAAUUGAAACAUCACAAACAUUUGAAUCAACCUUGGCAAUUAUUUUAGCAUUUUCAUUCCUAAGGUUGGCAAUAAUAUCAUGGCAAGUGCUUAGCUCACUAGAUAGUUUUUCACAUUUUUCUACUUCUAGAGCGUAAGCAUUUUUAACCUUAACAUGCUUCUUAUUUUCUUUAAUUAGGAAGUCCUCUUGAGAGUCCAAGAGUUCAUCCUUCUCAUGAAUAGCACUAAUUAAUUCAUUUAAUUUUUCUUUUUGUUGCAUGUUUAGGUUGGCAAAAAGGGUGCGUAAAUUAUCCUCCUCAUCACAAGAGUUAUCAUCAUCACUGGAGGUUUCAUAUUUAGUGGAGGAUUUUGAUUUUACCUUCUUCCUUUUGCCGUCUUUUGCCAUGAGGCACUUGUGGCCGACGUUGGGGAAGAGGAGUCCUUUGGUGACGGCGAUGUUGGCGGCGUCCUCGUCGGAGGAGGAGUCGGUGGAGCUCUCGUCGGAGUCCCAUUCGCGGCACACAUGGGCAUCGCCGCCCCUCUUCUUGUGGUACCUCUUCUUUUCUCUCCUCUUUCCCUUCUUGUCGUCGCCCCUGUCACUAUCACUUGAAAAUGGACAUUUAGCAAUAAAAUGACCGGGCUUACCACACUUGUAGCACACUUUCUUGGAGUGGGAUUUGUAGUCCUUCCCCUCCUUUGCUUGAGGAUUUGGCGGAAGCUCUUGAUGAUGAGCGCCAUCUCCUCAUUGUCGAGCUUGGAGGCGUCAAUGGGGAGUCUACUUGAUGUAGACUCUUCCUUCUUCUCCUCCGUCGCCUUGAAUGCGACCGGUUGUGCUUCGGGCGUGGAGGGGCCAUCUUGCUCGAUGAUUUUCUUUGAGCCUUUGAUCAUCAACUCAAAGCUCACAAAUUUUCCUAUUACUUCCUCGGGAGACAUUAGUGUGUAUCUAGGAUCACCACGUAUUAAUUGAACUUGCGUAGGGUUAAGAAAAACGAGUGAUCUAAGAAUAACCUUGACCAUUUCAUGGUCAUCCCAUUUUUUGCUCCCGAGGUUGCGCACUUGGUUCACCAAGGUCUUGAGCCGGUUGUACAUUUCUUGUGGCUCCUCCCCUUGGCGAAGCCGGAAGCGACCGAGCUCCCCCUCGAUCGUCUCCCGUUUGGUGAUCUUGGUCACCUCGUCUCCUUCGUGCGUGGUCUUGAGUACGUCCCAAAUCUCCUUGGCACUCUUCAAUCCUUGCACCUUGUUAUACUCCUCUCGACUUAGAGAGGUGAGGAGUAUAGUGGUGGCUUGGGAGUUGAAGUGCAUGAUUUGGGCCACCUCGUCCUCAUCAUAAUUUUCAUCCCCUAAGGAUGGUACCUGUACACCAAACUCAACAACAUCCCAUAUGCUUUUGUGGAGUGAGGUUAGGUGAUAUCUCAUCAUAUCACUCCACCUAGAAUAAUUUUCACCGUCAAACGUUGGUGGUUUGCCUAAUGGGAUGGAAAGUAAUGGAGUAUUCUUAGGAAUGCGAGGAUAGCGUAGGGGGAUCUUACUAUACUUCUUGCGCUCUUGGCGCUUAGAAGUGACAGACGCGGCGUCGGAUCUGGAUGUAGAGGGCGAGGAAGAGUCGGUCUCGUAGUAGACCACUUUCUUCAUUUUCUUCUUCUUCUCGCCACUCUUGUGCGAUCGAAUGCGUGAAGGGGAUCCAUCCUUCUUGUUGUUGGCGGACUCCCUCGAUGGAGCCUUCAUGUGGCUUGUAGCAGACUUCUCACCGCCGAUCACCAUCUUCUUGGCGUGAUCUCCCGACAUCACUUCGAGCGGUUAAGCUCUAAUGAAGCACCGGGCUCUGAUACCAAUUGAAAGUCGCCUAGAGGGGGGUGAAUAGGGCGAAUCUAUAAUUUAUAAACUUAAGCACAACUACAAGCCGGGUUAGCGUUAGAAAUAUAAACGAGUCCGAGAGAGAGAGAGAGAGCGAAAAACAAAUUGUGAGCAAAUAAAGAGUGAGACACAAGGAUUUGUUUUACCGAGGUUCGGUUCUUGCAAACCUACUCCCCGUUGAGGUGGUCACAAAGACCGGGUCUCUUUCAACCCUUUCCCUCUCUCAAACGAUCACUUAGACCGAGUGAGCUUCUCUUCUCAAUCAAAUGGGACACAAGGUCCCCACAAGGACCACCACACAAUUGGUGUCUCUUGCCUCGGUUACAAUUGAGUUGAUCACAAGAAAGAAUGAGAAAAAGAAGCAAUCCAAGCGCAAGAGCUCAAAUGAACACAAGUCACUCUCUCACUAGUCAUUAUUUGAUUUGGAAUGAACUAAGGACUUGGGAGAGGAUUUGAUCUCUUUGGUGUGUCUUGUAUUGAAUGUUAUAGCUCUUGUAAGGUGUAGGAAGUUGGAAAACUUGGAUGCAAUGAAUGGUGGGAUGGUUGGGGUAUUUAUAGCCCCAACCACCAAAAGUGGCCGUUGGGAGGCUGUCUGUCGCAUGGCGCACCGGACAGUCCGUUGCGCCACCGGACACUGUCCGGUGCGCCAGCCACGUCAGCCGGCCGUUGGGUUCUGACCGUUGGAGCUCUGACUGGUGGGGCCUCUAGGCUAUCCGGUGGUGCAUCGGACAGGUCCUGUAGACUGUCCGGUGCCCCUUCUGCGCGUGCUCUGACUCUGGCGCACACUGUAGCGAAUUUAAUGAGGUUGCAGUCGACCGUUGGCGCGAAGUAGCCAUUGCUCCGCUGGCACACCGGACAGUCCGGUGUGACACCGGACACUGUCCGGUGCUUCACCGGACAGUGUGGUGAAUUAGAGCGGAGCGGUCUCCCAUUUUCCCGAAGGUAGCGAGUUCAGCGUCAAGUUCCUUGGUGCACCGGACACUGUCCGGUGGUGCACCGGACAGUCCGGUGCGCCAGACCAGGGUGCCUUUGGGAUUUCUUUAGCUCUUUUUAUUUGAACCCUUCUUUGGUCUUUUUAUUGGCUUGUUGUGAACCUUUGGUACCUGUAAAACUUAUAGACUAGAGGAAACUAGUUAGUCCAAUUAUUUGUGUUGGGCAAUUCAACCACCAAAAUCAAUUAGGAAAAAGGUGUAAGCCUAAUUCCCUUUCAGAUGCCGACGCUCGGACAAGAGCGAGAGCAACAACGACGACUGGGUGGAGAACCAGAUGCUGGCACGUGGCGGUGUCGUACUAGAACUCCAAAAGAGCAGGAGGAGGCUGGCAGUGGCUUGCUAGAAGAUAUAGAUCAGCAGUAGUAGUAGCAUCAAUGCAUCACCAUCGUCUUUCGAUCCAACUCCAUGCAUAUAUAUCAUCUGAUCGAAUCUUCUCCAAUUCUAUUUACUCGGAUUUAAAUGACAUGGCACAAAUCCAAUGGCUGAAAUUUAACCAGACGGAGAGCCACAUAGAAAGCAACCAUAGAAGAUCCGAAUAGUGAGUCAGUAAAAGAAAGCCAAGUUCGUACAUGUGGGGAAGAGGUAGCAGUUUCCCUUCUCCACGAUAACUGCAGCAACACAAAUCUCGAAUCUCUUUUCGUUGAGAAUUGAGACAGCGAAUGAGGGGGAGAAGGGAGUGGGCUCACGACCUACUAGCCAGGGAUGGAGCUGGCCACGCUCAGCGUAGGGCCGCUCGGCCGAGGAGGGGAAGGGCGUCCGAGCACAUGGCCUUUGCCCACGCGCAGGCAGGAGAUGGCGCCGUAGGCAGGGGAGAGGUUGCGAGGAGCCACACUGCUACGGGCUGGCUAGCGGGCCCCCGCCGCUGCGAGCUGGCGCGUGGGCAGGGGGUGGGGGAGGGGGCGGGGGGUCGCUGGAGGGCCUGAAAGGGAAAUAGGGUCAAACCUUUUCCUAAAUGAUUUUGGUGGUUGAAAUGUCCAACACAAAUAAUUGGACUAACUAGUUUGCUCUAGUUGAUCAUUUCACAGGUGCAUAAGUUCAUCUACAACUAUUCUAAAUCGACUGUCCGGAAUACCGUAGAUUAUUCCGGACAGGAGAAGCUUUUUGGAGAUAGUGAGUACACUAACCAUGUGUAUAAACUCUCUAAGGCGUUUUAUGGGCUCAAGCAAGCCCCAAGAGCAUGGUAUGAAUGCCUAAGAGAUUUUCUUAUCACUAAUGGCUUUAAAGUUGGAAACGUCGAUCCUACUCUCUUUACUAAAACUAUUGCAAAUGAUUUGUUUGUAUGCCAAAUUUAUGUUGAUGAUAUCAUAUUUGGGUCUACUAACAAAUCUACAUGUCAAGAGUUUAGUAGGAUAAUGAUUCAAAAAUUCGAGAUGUCAAUGAUGGGGGAGUUGAAGUAUUUCUUAGGAUUUCAAGUGAAGCAACUCCAAGAGGGCACCUUCAUCAGCCAAACUAAGUACAUUAAGACAUACUCAACAAGUUUGGAAUCAAGGAUGCCAAGCCCAUCAAGACACCCAUGGGAACCAAUGGGUAUCUCGACCUCGACAUGGGAGGUAAAUCCGUAGAUCAAAAGGUAUACCGGUCGACGAUAGGAUCUUUACUCUAUUUAUGUGCAUCUCGACCGGAUAUUGUGUUUUCCGUAUGCAUGUGUGCAAGAUUCCAAGCCGAUCCUAAGGAAGUUCACCUUAGGGCCGUGAAAAGAAUCUUGAGAUAUUUAGUUCAUACACCUAAGUUUGGUCUUUGGUACCCCAAGGGAUCCACUUUUGAUUUAAUAGGAUAUUCAGAUGCUGAUUGGGCAGGGUGUAAAAUUGAUAGAAAGAGCACAUCAGGGACUUGUCAGUUCUUGUGAAGAUCCCUGGUGUCUUGGGCUUCAAAGAAACAAAAUUCAGUAGCUCUUUCUACCGUCGUAGCCGAGUACAUUGCCGCAAGCCAUUGUUGCGCGCAAUUGCUUUAGAUGAGGCAAACCCUUAGGGACUAUGGCUACAAUUUAACCAAAGUCCCUCUCCUAUGUGAUAAUGAGAGUGCAAUCCGCAUGACGGAUAAUCCCGUUGAGCACAGCCACACUAAGCACAUAGCCAUUCGAUAUCAUUUUAUGAGGGAUCACCAACAAAGGGGGCAUAUCGAGAUUGCUUAUGUUAGCACCAAAGAACAAUUAGCCGAUAUCUUUGCCAAACCACUAGAUGAGAAAACCUUUACCAAACUUAGGAAUGAGCUAAACAUUCUUGACUCUAGGAAUUUUGAUUGAUACUUUGCACACAUAGCUCAUUUAUAUACCUUUGAUCGUACCUCUUUCAUGUGCUAUGACUAAUGUGUUUCUAAGUGUACUACAUGCUAAGUCAUAGAUUGAAAGGGAAAUGGAGUUCUCGGCGAAGACAAGGCUUCCACUCCACUCUACCGGUAUUAUUUACCCUUCGCCGUCACUCUUCAUCGCUCUCCACAUUGGUAUAAUCCUUCACUCAUAUAUUGUUUGCCAAAGGGGGAGAGAAUUUAACAAGGGCUCAUAUUUCACUCACAAAGUAUCUGUUUUUGGCGAUUCAUGCCAAAGGGGGAGAAAGUAUUAGCCCAAAGCAAAAGGACCGCACCACCACCAAUUUCAAAGUUUUUAAAGAAGAUUUGUAGUACAAAAGAUUUUCAAUUGUUAUCUUAUUAUAGAAAGAAGUCUUUCAAUUGGUAUUUUAUUUUUGAUAUAUUUCAAAUUGGUAUGACCACUCAAAAUUGGUAUCUAAAACCCUAUUGAACACUAAGAGGAGAAUUUUAUUGAGGGGGAGUUUUUGUUUAAGUCAAAGGAAAAGCAUUUGAAACAGGGGGAGAAAAAUUCAAAUCUUGAAAAUGCUUCUCAAAAUCUUAUUCAUUUACCUUUGACUAUUUGCAAAAAGACUUUGAAAAAGAAUUUCCAAAAUAAUUUGCAAAAACAAAACAAGUGGUGCAAAUGUGGUCCAAAAUAUUAAAAGAAAUAAAGCAAUCCAUACAUAUCUAGUGUAAGUAUAAAAUUGGUUUAAUUCCAAGCAACCUUUGCACUUGCCUUAUGCAAACUAGUUCAAUUCUGCACUUAUAUAUUUGCUUUGGUUUAUGUUGGCAUCAAUCACCAAAAAGGGGGAGAUUGAAAGAGAAAUAGGGUCAAACCUUUUCCUAAAUGAUUUUGGUGGUUGAAAUGCCCAACACAAAAUAAUUGGACUAACUAGUUUGCUCUAGUUGAUCAUUUCAUAGGUGCAUAAGUUCAUUUACAACUAUUCUAAAUCGACUGUCUGGAAUACCGUAGAUUAUUCCGGACAGGAGAACCUUUUUGGAAAAACAGACCAAGCGCGAACCGUCUGGGCCCUUUCGGCGGACCGUCUGCGACACCCAAGUGAGCCUCGGACAGGAACACUGCAUAAACGCAAGCCAACACUACAGACCGUCCGAUGGAAAGGCAAGCACCGUCCGAGACCAGGCGCGAACCGUCCGGCCUCAGGCGCGGACCGUCCGGUCGGCACAGAACCGAAAAACCCGAAGGUGACGGGUUCGGUAAAAUGAAUUAUAGCGUCCUCGCGGACCGUCCGGGGUGCACGACCGAACCGUCCGUGACUGCCUUUAUCUGACAUCUUACGACACAUUUAAUGCAUUAUAGCCGUUGAUAUAGCCGUUACUGCUGACCGUUGGAAUUUCAGCCGUUGAUGUACAGGGGCGGACCGUCCGGACCAGGAGCGCGGAUCGUCCGCGGUUGGCAGAAAUGAAGCAACGGCUAGGAAGUGGUUGGGGGCUAUAAAUACAACCCCAACCACCUCCAUUCACUACAACCAAGCAUUCUAAUCUUUAACAUUCAAUACAAGAGCUAGCAAUCCAUUUCAAGACACAAUCAAAGCCUCCAAUCUCUCCAAGUUCCACUAUUGAGACAAGUGAUCAUUAGUGAUUAGUGACUUGAGAGAGAGAGAGAGUGAUCUGUGUGUUAUUUGUCGCUCUUGUUGCUUGGCCUUUUGCAAUCGUGCUUUUUUCUUCCCAUUCUUAUUCUUCAAGCACUUGUAAUCAAAGCAAGAGACACCAAGUUAUGGUGGUCCUUGUGAGGGGUCUAAGUGACCCGUUUGAUUAAGGAGAAAGCUCACUCGGUCUAGGUGACCGUUUGAGAGAGAGAGAAAGGGUUGAAAGAGACCCGGUCUUUGUGACCACCUCAACGGAGAGUAGGUUUGCAAGAACCGAACCUUGGUAAAACAAAUCACCGUGUCAUCCGCUUUCAGUUGUUUGUGAUUUGAUUUUACCCUCUUCUUCGGACUCGACUUUAUUUCUAACGCUAACCCGGCUUGUAGUUGUGCUUAAAGUUUAUAAAUUCAUAUUUUUCUAUUUAUCUCUGGAAUGCAAUAUCUGAUGCCGGUCAGGGGGUUCGCUCGACGGAUGAGGAUGGAGAGAGGGGCGUGGCCAGGCGGUACCGACACCGACGGACGCCGAAUCUCGGACAAGAGCGAGAGCAACAACGACGACUAAGUGGAGAACCAGAUGCUGGGACGUGGCGGUGCCGUACCAGAACUCCAGAAGAGCAGGAGGAGGCUGGCGGUGUCUUGCUAGAAGAUAUAGAUCAGCAGCAGUAGUAGCAUCAAUGCAUCACCAUCGUCUUUCGAUCCAACUCCAUGCAUAUAUAUCAUCUGAUCGAAUCUUCUCCAAUUCUAGCUUUUGGACCAACUCCGAUCCAUAGCGCUAGCAUUUCUCAACUAAGUGAACUUCGCUUUGAAUGGGAUCUAAGUGAAACCACUCAAGCAAAUAGAGUCCGUUGCCUCUUCACCGCUCUUUAAACAGACAUAGAUAGUAUGAUCUCGCCGUCAACGAAAAUGAAUUGAACGUGGACUUUAAUCCAAUGCUGGGGCGGGGAGAAGCACCUACCUCCGCUGAGGCGAUGAUCGACGGCAACGACGACCUCGUCGUCCAGGGCCCGGACGGUGGUGGCCACCCGCUACUCGUGCUCCCGACCUUCCGUAGUGCGCCGGCCAGCAGCCCAGCACGUCCGCUAUCUUGGAAGGUAGCGCCUCGCACCGCUUCGGAGGGGUUGCCGCGGCACGGUAGUCCUCAAUGUCGUCCUAUCGAGAGAGCACGAGCGAUGUAGCGGAGAGAAACAUGAGCACACUGCCUUUUUCCCUUUCUACCGCACCUUCAGCUGCCUUCUCGAAGAC
rnacentral:lncRNA from 1 species